rnacentral:misc_RNA from 1 species
AAGUCGUAACAAGGUCUCCGUAGGUGAACCUGCGGAGGGAUCAUUACACAAUAUGAAAGCGGGCUGGGACCUUACUUCGGUGAGGGCUCCAGCUUGUCUGAAUUAUUCACCCAUGUCUUUUGCGCACUUCUUGUUUCCUGGGCGGGUUCGCCCGCCACCAGGACCAAACCAUAAACCUUUUUGUAAUUGCAAUCAGCGUCAGUAAACAAUGUAAUUAUUACAACUUUCAACAACGGAUCUCUUGGUUCUG